AACGAACGCUGGCGGCAGGCCUAACACAUGCAAGUCGAACGUGAAGCCACCUUCGGGUGGUGGAAAGUGGCAGACGGGUGAGUAACGCGUGGGAAUCUACCCAAUGGUACGGAAUAACUCAGGGAAACUUGAGCUAAUACCGUAUGUGCCCGAAAGGGGAAAGAUUUAUCGCCAUUGGAUGAGCCCGCGUCGGAUUAGCUAGUUGGUGGGGUAACGGCCCACCAAGGCGACGAUCCGUAGCUGGUCUGAGAGGAUGAUCAGCCACACUGGGACUGAGACACGGCCCAGACUCCUACGGGAGGCAGCAGUGGGGAAUAUUGGACAAUGGGCGCAAGCCUGAUCCAGCCAUGCCGCGUGAGUGAUGAAGGCCCUAGGGUUGUAAAGCUCUUUCGACGGGGACGAUAAUGACGGUACCCGUAGAAGAAGCCCCGGCUAACUUCGUGCCAGCCGCCGCGGUAACAC
rnacentral:rRNA from 1 species